rnacentral:lncRNA from 1 species
GUGGGGACGGAGGGUGCUGGGGAGGCAGCAGUGUGGGACAACCUCGCGAGACCCGCGCAACUCCUGCGUAGCCAAGGCUGCAACUUCUGCUACAAAAUCCGAGGUUCUCCAAGCCGCGAAAACGUGCCCGCGUUGUGCUCAGUGUCACACGUAUUCCUGCGCUCCUCGUGCCUGGAACGCCUGCACAACCCUGCCUGCCUCAACAGCGACCCUUCACCCUGCGCCCAUGCGUCCCUCCGCAGUUGUCCCGGACAAGGUCACCUCCUCUUUCCUUCUCAUCCUCUUCCUCUCUGGCCAGGUAUUCUCCGAGCUCCUCACAUUCAUUUACAGCGAUUUUAUUUGUUUCUACCAAACUGUAAGCGCUUAGCUGGGCACGGCUGUGCACACCUGUGAGCAAUCCCAGCUCUCCAGCGGCCGAGGAAGGAUCCUGGGUUGGCGGUCAGGGUCUACAUAGUGAGAUCCUGUCUCAAAAAAACAAAAAAUAAAUCUAAAUGCUUGAGGACCUGGACAGCUGUAUUCAUCAAUAUGUAUUUCCAACACCUAGGACAAUUUUUCUUCUAUUUAAGACAAGGUCUUGGUGUGCUGUCCCUGUUGUCUCAAACUCCUGAGCCUCCUCCUGCUUCAGCCUUUUGAGUAGCUGGGACUACAGGCACACACCACCAUGCCUGGCUUGAAAUUAUGUCUUAAAAAUUGAGAAAGAAGUUGGUUUUCCCAAUAAAUUUUUAAAGAAGACCUAGAUUCAGCAGAUUUAGUGC